GACAGAGGGGGCAAGCGUUGCUCGGAAUUACUGGGCGUAAAGGGCGCGUAGGCGGAAUGGCAAGUCGGUCGUGAAAUCCUUCGGCUCAACCGAAGAACGUCGAUCGAAACUGCCGUUCUUGAGGAUUGCAGAGGAGACUGGAAUUCCCGGUGUAGCGGUGAAAUGCGCAGAUAUCAGGAAGAACACCCGUGGCGAAGGCGGCUCUCUGGGACGGUACUGACGCUGAGACGCGAAAGCGUGGGGAGCGAACAGG
rnacentral:rRNA from 1 species